rnacentral:sRNA from 1 species
UUUUUAUCUAGUUUUUCCGCAGACCUUGUGUUCUAGACCUUUUGUAAUCCGGAUUUCUCUUUAUCUAUUCAGUAUUCAACUUUUGUUCUAGAUUUCGUUUACUGUUGUUUAUUCUGUUAUCAUCCUGCUGUUACACUGUUGUUAUUAUGUUUUCAACUUGUUCAACGUUUAUGCUUUCUGUUAUGAUGUCUGAGUAGUGAAUAGGUUUCUGAGGAUGGGUUAGAGUAGUGUAGAAUUCUCAGUAUGCUAGGUGAUUGAGUAUUGAUUGAUAGAUCCCUUCUGGAUUAGUUGUUCUUAAUGCCUAUUGCUUUCUGAUCAACUGAAAUUUGAGCCCAGACAUUUCCGCACCCAAAAGGUGUUCGAUGAAAUGUCUGAACCACUAAUUCCAGAGAUUCGUGACCCUGUACCAAGGUAUUGGUUGCAGGGAGCGUUUUGGCUUUAACUUGUUGAUUCGUAAUGCCUGUUAGGUUAGCUCUCGUCAAUGGUGAUUGAGUCUGGGACUAGGUUAACUUGAGAGUCUCUGUUGCGGUGGCACUUAGAUUUGGUUAAUGAACUUGUUGUUUAGGGUUUAUUUAUUGAGCAUGUCAAUCACCAGUAAACUGAGAAAACGAAACUACUCGAUUACCCUAUCCUCGGGAAUUCUUUAUCUGAUUGAUUUUAUUGUUUACUCUACUGCAUCUUGUCAUUUGUUGCUUAGUUUCUGCAAUUCUUUACUGUUACUCGACCUGAUACUCGACCACCCAGUUGUCUGGCAACAGACUGUGCAGUCGAGUAUCCCUGUUUCACUUUCUGUCUGUUACUCGACCUGUCACUCGACCUCAUCCAGUGCUCUGCAAAGAGCUGUGUUGGUCGAGUGUUUUAUUGUUUCUACUUGAAUUUUUGUUUUCUGCAUGUUCACUUAGAACUGCUAGAACACACCAAAACCUGUUAUUGCUUGGCUUGACUUAGUGACUUCUGAUCACAUCUUGAUUGUUAGCAUCACACCCAUUUGGAUUGACAACCUUCAGUACUACAACGACAUGAUAGUGCUUUAGGUUUAAUUGAUCUUAAAAACCUAUUAUCAAACCGUCGAUGACAAUCAAACCAACAAGACUUUUUUCCAUGCUUAAGCUGAAAUGCAU